UACGUAGGCAGCGAGCGUUGUUCGGAUUCAUUGGGCGUAAAGGGUGCGUAGGCGGUCUUCUAAGUUUUGAUGUGAAAUCCCGGGGCUCAACCCUGGAAUUGCAUUGAAUACUGGAGGACUAGAGUACCGGAGAGGAAACUGGAAUUUACGGUGUAGCGGUGAAAUGCGUUGAUAUGUGUCGGAACACCAAUGGCGAAAGCAAUCUUCUGGACGCAAACUGACGCUGAGAUACGAAAGCCAAGGUAGCAAACAGG
rnacentral:rRNA from 1 species